AGACUUGCGCUUGGGGCAAUGACGCAGCUAGUGAGGUUCUAAUCGAGGCGCGUCUUUUGCUGGUUGAAAACUAUUUCCAAACUCCCUCUAUUGCUUAGGUUCGCCCUAAGCCUUAGAGAAUAUUUAGAAGGGUUUCCUUAUA
rnacentral:snRNA from 1 species